GGAUUAGAUACCCUGGUAGUCCACGCCGUAAACUAUCAAUACUCGUUUUCGGCGAUAUACAGUCGGAGACUAAGCGAAAGUGAUAAGUAUUGCACCUGGGGAGUACGAUCGCAAGGUUGAAACUCAAAGGAAUUGACGGGGGCCCGCACAAGCGGUGGAGCAUGUGGUUUAAUUCGAUGAUACGCGAGGAACCUUACCAGGGCUUAAAUGUAGAAGGAAUGAUGUGGAAACAUGUCAGCCUUCGGGCCUUCUACAAGGUGCUGCAUGGCUGUCGUCAGCUCGUGCCG
rnacentral:rRNA from 1 species